rnacentral:rRNA from 1 species
GUAGGUGGCAAGCGUUGUCCGGAAGUUAUUGGGCGUAAAGCGCGCGCAGGUGGGUCUUUAAGUCUGAUGUGAAAGACCCCCGGGCUCAACCGGGGAGGGUCAUUGGAAACUGGGGAACUUGAGUGCAGGAGAGGAAAGUGGAAUUCCACGUGUAGCGGUGAAAUGCGUAGAUAUGUGGAGGAACACCAGUGGCGAAGGCGACUUUCUGGCCUGUAACUGACACUGAGGCGCGAAAGCGUGGGGAGCAAACAGGAUUAGAUACCCUGGUAGUCCACGCCGUAAACGAUGAGUGCUAAGUGUUCGGGGGGGUUUCCGCCCCCUCAGUGCUGCAGCUAACGCAUUAAGCACUCCGCCUGGGGAGUACGGUCGCAAGACUG